AACGAACGCUGGCGGCAUGCCUAACACAUGCAAGUCGAACGAAGGCUUCGGCCUUAGUGGCGCACGGGUGCGUAACGCGUGGGAAUCUGCCCUUGGGUUCGGAAUAACAGUGGGAAACCGCUGCUAAUACCGGAUGAUGACGUAAGUCCAAAGAUUUAUCGCCAAAGGAUGAGCCCGCGUAGGAUUAGCUAGUUGGUGGGGUAAUGGCCUACCAAGGCGACGAUCCUUAGCUGGUCUGAGAGGAUGAUCAGCCACACUGGGACUGAGACACGGCCCAGACUCCUACGGGAGGCAGCAGUGGGGAAUAUUGGACAAUGGGCGAAAGCCUGAUCCAGCAAUGCCGCGUGAGUGAUGAAGGCCUUAGGGUUGUAAAGCUCUUUUACCCGGGAUGAUAAUGACAGUACCGGGAGAAUAAGCUCCGGCUAACUCCGUGCCAGCCGCCGCGGUAAGAC
rnacentral:rRNA from 1 species